UGGGGAAUAUUGCACAAUGGGCUAAAGCCUGAUGCAGCGACGCCGCGUGAGGGAUGACGGCCUUCGGGUUGUAAACCUCUUUCAGCAGGGACGAAGCGCAAGUGACGGUACCUGCAGAAGAAGCACCGGCUAACUACGUGCCAGCAGCCGCGGUAAUACGUAGGGUGCAAGCGUUGUCCGGAAUUACUGGGCGUAAAGAGUUCGUAGGCGGUUUGUCGCGUCGUUUGUGAAAACCAGCAGCUCAACUGCUGGCUUGCAGGCGAUACGGGCAGACUUGAGUACUGCAGGGGAGACUGGAAUUCCUGGUGUAGCGGUGAAAUGCGAAGAUAUCAGGAGGAAAACCGGUGGCGAAGGCGGGUCUCUGGGCAGUAACUGACGCUGAGGAACGAAAGCGUGGGUAGCGAACAGG
rnacentral:rRNA from 1 species